rnacentral:rRNA from 1 species
CGCCAGACUCCUACGGGAGGCAGCAGUGAGGGAUAUUGGGCAAUGGGGGAAACCCUGACCCAGCGACGCCGCGUGAGGGAAGACGGUCUUCGGAUUGUAAACCUCUGUCUUUGGGGACGAAAAAGGACGGUACCCAAGGAGGAAGCUCCGGCUAACUACGUGCCAGCAGCCGCGGUAAUACGUAGGGGGCAAGCGUUAUCCGGAUUUACUGGGUGUAAAGGGGGCGCAGACGGCGAUGCAAGCCAGGAGUGAAAGCCCGGGGCCCAACCCCGGGACUGCUCUUGGAACUGCGUGGCUGGAGUGCAGGAGGGGCAGGCGGAAUUCCUGGUGUAGCGGUGAAAUGCGUAGAUAUCAGGAGGAACACCGGUGGCGAAGGCGGCCUGCUGGACUGCAACUGACGUUGAGGCCCGAAAGCGUGGGGAGCAAACAGGAUUAGAUACCCGAGUAA